GGAGUGUAUUUUUCUGGUUAUUUUUUUUAUUAACAAAACCUUUUCAAGCAGCACUGCUAUGCUGUGCACUGGAAAAAGGUGAGCAAAAGAAAAACCAAGAGAAGUGUGUCAAAUAGUAAAAGCUGUCAUCACGACAGACGAACAAUAUAUCUGUUCCCUAUGGAAAAUCUAGUUGUUGUGCUUUUCACAUCCAAUUAGGAUUUGAAUCCACAGUGAAUGUUCAGGACAGCUCACAAAAUAACUGACUCAAAGCCCUCAGAUAAUCACCCACUCUCUAACGCUUCCUGUGACAAAUUGUAACAGGUCAUGGAAGUGACAUGCUUUAUUAACAGGUCAUGGAAGUGACAUGCCUUAUUGAGAACUGAUGCCAUAUAAAAGCUUUGCAGGGUUAAAUAUUCUGGAGUCACUGAGUAGAAAUACUAGGAGUAAUGUAAUAUUAAUAGUAUAAAAUAAUUCGGGGGGGCUUUUCUGUCUGUCUUGGUGCAGCGUGGAGACACCAGAAUAACUGUACUGACCUCUGUGAACGUUAUUGAAAGGAGAGCAGAAAGCAUAAUCCUUUCCUGAAGGUCACAAAACAGUGCUGAAAGCCAGAUGCAGUCUGAAAAGAUUAAUGUCCAGGCUAUAAUCUGAGUUAAACUGAACUAUGUUUUAAAUCUGUCUGCUAAACAGAAGCAUGGAAAUAAUAAAGCAAGCUCAAUUGGAAGGGGGGUAUGGAGAUGAC
ensembl:lncRNA